rnacentral:rRNA from 1 species
UGCUCUUUGAGGUUCACGCUUCGAAGAGCCGCAGUGAAUAGGCCCAAGCGACUGUUUAUCAAAAACACAGGUCUCUGCUAAACCGUAAGGUGACGUAUAGGGGCUGACGCCUGCCCGGUGCUGGAAGGUUAAGAGGAGUGGUUAGCAUUAGCGAAGCUACGAAUCGAAGCCCCAGUAAACGGCGGCCGUAACUAUAACGGUCCUAAGGUAGCGAAAUUCCUUGUCGGGUAAGUUCCGACCCGCACGAAAGGCGUAACGAUUUGGGCACUGUCUCAACGAGAGACUCGGUGAAAUCAUAGUACCGGUGAAGAUGCCGGUUACCCGCGACAGGACGGAAAGACCCCGUGGAGCUUUACUGUAGCCUGAUAUUGAAAUUCGGUACAGUUUGUACAGGAUAGGUAGGAGCCUUAGAAGCGUGAGCGCUAGCUUACGUGGAGGCAUUGGUGGGAUACUACCCUAAUUGUAUUGGAUUUCUAACCCGCAACUCUUAUCGAGUUGGGAGACAGUGUCAGGCGGGCAGUUUGACUGGGGCGGUCGCCUCCUAAAGAGUAACGGAGGCGCUCAAAGGUUCCCUCAGAAUGGUUGGAAAUCAUUCAUAGAGUGUAAAGGCAUAAGGGAGCUUGACUGCGAGACCUACAAGUCGAGCAGGGUCGAAAGACGGACUUAGUGAUCCGGUGGUUCCGCAUGGAAGGGCCAUCGCUCAACGGAUAAAAGCUACCCCGGGGAUAACAGGCUUAUCUCCCCCAAGAGUUCACAUCGACGGGGAGGUUUGGCACCUCGAUGUCGGCUCAUCGCAUCCUGGGGCUGUAGUCGGUCCCAAGGGUUGGGCUGUUCGCCCAUUAAAGCGGUACGCGAGCUGGGUUCAGAACGUCGUGAGACAGUUCGGUCCCUAUCCGUCGUGGGCGUAGGAAAUUUGAGAGGAGCUGUCCUUAGUACGAGAGGACCGGGAUGGACAUACCUCUGGUGUACCAGUUGUCGUGCCAACGGCAUAGCUGGGUAGCUAUGUAUGGACGGGAUAAGUGCUGAAAGCAUCUAAGCAUGAAGCCCCCCUCAAGAUGAGAUUUCCCAACUUCGGUUAUAAGAUCCCUCAAAGAUGAUGAGGUUAAUAGGUUCGAGGUGGAAGCGUAGCGAUACGUGGAGCUGACGAAUACUAAUCGAUCGAAGACUUAAUCAAUUU